ACGAGCACCUGCUUGGGAAGGAGACUGCGCCCAUCUAUGCGCCAUAAGCCUGCUCCUUCUGACUUUUUCCACUUUUAAAACGGACUGAUUUUUGUUCGUGCGUUCUAAAACCAUGCUUCAAAUCCGAAGACCAAAGUGCAUUUUGGGCUUGACUGGCACAUUUUCAGUUAUGCGUGGCAAGUUACGCAGCGUCAGAGCGCAUUGGAAUAAACUUUGAAUGCUUGAAUCACUGGAAGAUUUUUAUUAGAUAUUUUUUUUUGGUAAAUUUGGAAAGGAGGUGAGUCGCCGCUUGAUUGAAGGGUUCCGCCACUUUCUAUGGUCUGGAUUUGAAAAGACUCAAGGAGAAGUGCUCAGUGUUGAAAUAUUGCGCUGCUGUGUACCACGAUCGCGGAGCGGACGCGCGGAUGAGACAGCAUGGGUCCUAUGCUGAAUGAUGGACGGGUGACACACCUCCUCUUUCCACUCCUCCUGCUUUUGCGAGUUCCAUUAUUGCUCAGCUUCGGUGAGCGCACAUGCCCGAAUAGCUGCCGAUGUGAAGGCAAAACAGUUAAUUGUGAUUCAUCUGGCUUCUUGGAUGUCCCAGAAAACAUUUCAGUUGGAUGCCAGGGCCUCUCCCUGCGCUACAAUGAAUUGCACAGCCUUUUACCCUAUCAGUUCGCUCAUCUGGGUCAGCUUCUCUGGAUUUAUUUGGAUCACAAUCAGAUUUCAGCAGUUGACAGUCGGGCAUUCCAGGGAGUUCGUAGACUCAAAGAACUUAUAAUGAGCUCCAACAAAAUCAUAUCUCUGCACAAUUCGACAUUCCACGGAAUUCCCAAUCUUCGUAGUUUAGAUCUGUCAUACAACAAGUUGGAAAUCCUCCAGUCGGGACAGUUCCACGGUUUGCGAAAGUUGCAAAACCUACACCUCCGGUCAAAUGGUCUCUCUAACAUCCCCAUACGAGCAUUCCUUGAGUGCCGAAGUUUGGAGUUUCUGGAUUUGGGCUACAAUCGAAUCAAAGCUCUCACACGCACCACCUUUUUAGGGUUACAGAAACUGAUGGAAUUGCAUCUUGAGCACAACCAGUUCACCCGGAUAAAUUUUUUUCUGUUUCCUCGCCUUGCCAACCUAAGAUCACUAUAUCUGCAGUGGAACCGCAUCAAGGUCGUCAAUCAGGGACUACCAUGGACAUGGUAUACAUUACAGAAACUUGAUCUUUCUGGAAAUGAAAUACAGACCCUGGAUCCAGCUGUAUUCCACUGCUUGCCUAACCUUCAAAUUCUAAACCUGGAAUCCAACAAACUUUCCAAUGUGUCACAGGAAGCGGUGUCGGCAUGGAUCUCACUGACUUCCAUCAGUCUGGCAGGCAACAUAUGGGAUUGUGCCACUGGCAUAUGCCCACUCGUGGCUUGGUUAAGAAAUUUCCGUGGCACCAAAGACACAACUAUGAUAUGCAGCAGCCCAAAAUAUCUCCAAGGAGAGAAGAUUAUGGAAGCUACAAGAAGCCACGGCAUUUGUGAGGAAACUGAUUAUGUCCUGACUGAGACACCCUCACCAAUGUCAGAGAUUUUUUCUGAAGCCACCAAUGAGCCAACAUUUCCUCCUACAAGUGGGUCUCCGCUUGUGCCACCAACUUUUGGGCAACACCGACCUUUUCGACCAAAACCUAUUCCUCACCCUACAUUCCCUGGGCAUAUGAGCAAAGAUCCAAGAGACUCAGUUGCACGUAGUCGGCCCACUCAUAUACUUCCUCCAGAGAUUGAACAUCUGACUCUCCAUAAAGUAGUGGUGGGCAGUGUGGCACUCUUCUUCAGCAUGUCUCUAAUUUUAACCAUUAUCUACGUAUUGUGGCGGCGCUACCCAGGAGCAACAAGAUUGCUCCACCAGCGAUCCAUGGUGGGGCGAAAGUGUCGCAAAAAGAGUCCAGAGCCGGAGCAGGACCUAAGCACCCAGCUGCAAGAGUAUUACAUGAGCUACAACCCUGCUGCCUCUCCAGAGGCUUUGGAAGUGCUUGGCAAUGGCACAGGCUCCUGCACUUGCACAAUCUCUAGCUCGAGGGAGUGUGAGGUAUGAUCCAUCACGUCAGCCUAACACUAGAAAUCAAAUUCAAAAUACAAGGCUCAACAGAAAGAAUGAGUAUACAUGUCGACGUCCCCUGCCUGGUGCGUGGCUCAGUGAGUUGCCCACCAUCCAUUAAAAGAAACUGCUAUGGAGCAUGCUGGGAACCACAUAGUGAUUCAACAUACAGAAUUUACCGUAAUUAGAGAAGAUACAGACAUUAGGGUUAUAAUGAAAUUAUUCACACAAAAAAAAUUCUGGAACUUGCUGGAAAAAACUGUUGUAAGAAAAAAAAAGCUCAUGAUACACCUCAUGAUCUCCCUUUAUUAAUAAAUACUGGUACUAAAGGCCCAUCUUAACUACUUGGAAAUGACUGAUCUCAACCAUGUUUGUUUUUUGUCUCUAUGAGGACAACUCUGGUUUUGAGGAUCAAGACUGUACAUAUGCAAGAUUGCUUUUUAAACGUUGCUGUGCUUUAACUCCUUUACUGAUAGAGCGACAGUACAAUAUGUGUUAUAAAGAUGGAUUUUGAUUGAAGGACGUAUUGUCUUGGACUACGAGACUUUCUCAAUGAAAAGACUAUAUGCUUGGCUGGUGUAUGCAGUAUGUGCCUCACAGGAUCUGUUUUUGCACCCGUUGUUUUACAUGAAUCAAAUUGCUGGUGGUCCGAAGAAGAAAAAAUGUAAAAAAAAAACAAGAGCUUAGACUAUCCCAAGCCAAUGACUUUUGUUGUUGUGCAGUUGUAAUUUAUUUUAUUUUUAAGUUUUACAUUUUAUUUUAAAUGUGGUUUCUAAUGGCAAUCGGACCCUGUCUAUCAGGUUUGAUUUAACCGAAGAAAAUGCAAUCAAAGGUGAAAGAAUUGGGUGGGGGGGCGCUUAUGAUUAAUUGUACUUUUCUAAGAGUAUGAUGUUAUUAAUGAUGUACUUUAAUACUAUCUGUUUCUACCAUUUCUAACCUUAAACAUCACAUGCACUGCUUUUGCUGUCAACUCUCCUGACCAUGUCUUUAUCCCUCCUCGAAACAACUUCAAAAUCUCAAAGCAAUCAGUUUUCAUGAACACGUUUUAUGCCUUUGAAAUCAUAAAAAAGAAGAACAUGGACAUGAAUCAUUCUUAAUGUGAUGUGUAAAGUAGAAAUAAUUGUUUUGUCAUCUCACUUUUGCACCUCAUUUUAUUUUUCAGGCACCAUUAGUGAUGUGAACUUAAGAUGAGAAUGGGAGUUUAGUUUGAUUAACUUGCUGUUCUGUUCCAUUAUGAAUGCUAUUCUAUUAUAAAAGUUUUCUCAUAAGAAUUUAGUCAGAUUCGGCACAAAGAUAGCAAACAUCUUCUUUGGGCUCCUCGUUGUUUUCGUGGCCUAUCCCCUAAAUUAUUAUUUUCCAUAAGCUGUGGUAAAAAGCAGACUAUUGCCACCACAUUUUUAAAUAUUGAAUGUCAUUGUAUAGACAAGAAUGAAGCAUCUUCGUUCCCUUUGAAGAAGGAAAACAACAUCUACUCAAUACUUGUAUAUUACUGACAAUCAUGUGCUCUCCUUGUCAAAAAUAACUGUCCUGUCUCCUUUGUCUCCAAUUGGACCCAUACUUACUUGAGAUUUGAAAGUUAACUGGUGUCAUUUCUCAAAACUAAGCACAAUAAAUUCCCAAUUGUGAAUUUUUUAGUCAGGACUCGAUUUGAGGAAAGGGCAGGACGACAGUGGCCGUUUCUCAGUACCAAUUAUGGCAAUUUUAAAUGUUAUUUAUAAAGAUUACGAAAAAUUGGGUGGGGGUGACAUUCCAAACUAAAGUCUUGGAUACUAACCUCCCAAACACAAUUUCUAGACCGAUGUAUCCCCGAUAAUACCGUAUCGGCCCGAAUAUAAAACAGUGUUUUUUGCAUUUAAAUAAGACUGAAAAAGUGGGGGUUGUCUUAUAUUCUCCGUCUAGACAUUAUGCCCAUUCACGACGCUAGAUGCGCCAGGUAUCAUUGAAGCGAUGUUCUGU